UGAGGAAUUUUUCGCAAUGGGCGAAAGCCUGACGAAGCAAUGCCGCGUGCAGGUAGAAGGCCUGUGGGUUGUAAACUGCUUUUCUCAGAGAAGAAGUUCUGACGGUAUCUGAGGAAUAAGCACCGGCUAACUCUGUGCCAGCAGCCGCGGUAAUACAGAGGGUGCAAGCGUUGUCCGGAAUGAUUGGGCGUAAAGCGUCUGUAGGUGGCUCGGAAAGUCUAAUGUCAAAUACCAGGGCUCAACCUUGGA
rnacentral:rRNA from 1 species